ACACACACACACACACACACACACACACACACACACACACACACACACACACACACACACACACACAACAACCCCCCAGUAACCCAGUACGAUUUCCUGCAAAUUCCAAAGUUGGAUCCCGGCUGGAACAUUUCAGUGCGCUUGCCACGUCACUUUGCCUCCCCUUUCGUCCCUUUUUUACUUCGUCCUGCUCCUCGCCUGUCUUUACUCCAUUUACCGCUUUCUCUUUACUUCGAAAACCACUGCUAAAAGAAACGUUUCUCAGUUUUACUCAUAAAACAACGAUAAAGAGCGAAAAGCGCACACGUUUUAAAAUGCGAAAAAGGAGCCAUGAUGACAAAACGGUCCCUAUUUCUCGUAACGGCAGAGGCCUGGAAUAUGCAUUUGCCACGCAGCAGUGGACAUUCGUGUGCGGUCCUCGGGGCAGUGACCUGCGGUCCAGCCGCCCUCUUUCCUCCCCCCCGCCUGCCCAGUGUUCAGACUACCUGUUCAUCAUGCUGCAGCUGAACAGUAGUCCGCACAUUGGUUAGGCUGGGCAGGGACACACACACCCGUGGCUCGAGCGAAAGGACUCUACCAUUCGCCACUGGACGGGGGGAUUUUACAUUUAAACAAUCUCUCUUGGGGAAUAAAGUGAGACGUUUACAUUGAAGUUGCUUUGGAUAAAAGCAUCUGGCAAAUGCAUUAAACUACACAUUCAUAAAUUUAUGUGCUCCCUGGGAAAGAAUCCCAAGGCCUUGAUGUUACUAGCACCACACUCUACCAGUCAAGCCACAGGAACUCUGGAAAAGAGCUAACGUUCGCAGUAAUUUCAAACACACAUGGAGUUCGAGCCCAACUUGAGUGGUGCUAGUGUUAAGCUAAAGCGAGAGGGGGAGGGAGUGUAAACGAGAAAUGAAGAACAGAUGAAUCUCACCUCCUCGUCCUUGUACCAGGACAGCGAUUCGGCCGUCAGGACGAACCAGUACUCCUUGGAGCCGCCCUUCAUAAUGCUGAUGUUGAGGGUUAGCCAGCCUUUACGGAUCACCUGUGGGACAGAGGGUGUAGGGCAUGCCACAAGAGUGGGGAAACAUUUAUGAGAUCCACACUUAUACAUUCAAUAAUCUUUGUGCUGGAAGCUUGUGUCCUAUGCUGAACAAACCUGAAAACCCUAUUGUGCAAACUUUUGGUGCUUACCUGCUGUGGAAAUAUUUCGUGUAACUCUGCCAGAGUAUUGUGGCUAACAUGAUUAACUAAAUAACUCUGCUUUAUACGUUACAGCAGUGGUUCUCAACUGGUGAUGAAAUUUUGUUUAAAUCAGUCAGUUUUUACGAAUUUUCAUUGAAAUUUUGCAAGCAAAAAUGGUCGGCUGUUUUGUUAUUUUAAUUUUUUCAGGCAAAAUU